UACGUAGGGCGCAAGCGUUAUCCGGAAUUAUUGGGCGUAAAGAGCUCGUAGGCGGUUUGUCGCGUCUGCCGUGAAAGUCCGGGGCUCAACUCCGGAUCUGCGGUGGGUACGGGCAGACUAGAGUGUGGUAGGGGAGACUGGAAUUCCUGGUGUAGCGGUGAAAUGCGCAGAUAUCAGGAAGAACACCCGUGGCGAAGGCGGCUCUCUGGUACGUGACUGACGCUGAGACGCGAAAGCGUGGGGAGCGAACAGG
rnacentral:rRNA from 1 species